UACGAAGGGGGCUAGCGUUGUUCGGAUUUACUGGGCGUAAAGCGCACGUAGGCGGAUCGUUAAGUCGGGGGUGAAAUCCUGGAGCUCAACUCCAGAACUGCCUUCGAUACUGGCGAUCUUGAGUCCGGAAGAGGUGAGUGGAACUCCUAGUGUAGAGGUGAAAUUCGUAGAUAUUCGCAAGAACACCAGUGGCGAAGGCGGACUCACUGGCCCGGUACUGACGCUGAGGUGCGAAAGCGUGGGGAGCAACAGG
rnacentral:rRNA from 1 species